rnacentral:rRNA from 1 species
UACGAAGGGGGCGAGCGUUGUUCGGAUUUACUGGGCGUAAAGGGCGCGCAGGCGGCUCAUUUUGUCAGGCGUGAAAGCCCCGGGCUUAACCUGGGAACUGCGUUUGAUACGGAUGGGCUAGAGUUCGGGAGAGGAGAGUGGAAUUCCCAGUGUAGAGGUGAAAUUCGUAGAUAUUGGGAAGAACACCGGUGGCGAAGGCGGCUCUCUGGACCGAUACUGACGCUGAGGCACGAAAGCGUGGGGAGCAAACAGG